ACUCACUGCUGCAGGAUGGGGAAUUUACCAUGGAUCUUCUACCAAGAGCACUGGGGGAGCCCCCACUUUCAACAUCACUGUCACCAUGACUGCCAAGACGCUAGUCCUGCUGAUGGGCAAAGAAGGUGUCCACAAGUGGUAUGAUCAACAAGAAAUGCUAUGAAAUGGCCUCCCACCUGCGGCUUUCCCAGUACUGACCUCAUCCGUCCCUUCCCCCCACCAUUCCCCAUGGCUUUUGCACCCCUCUCCUUCCCAGAUACACACAUACACCAUUUUUAUUUUUUGGGCCAUUACCCCACACCCCUUAUUGCUGCCAAAACUACAUGGGCUGGGGGCUGGGGCUGGAUGGACAGACACCUCCCCCUACCCAAACCCCUCCUGUGUGUGGUUGGAAAACUUUUUUUGGAGAACGGGAGACCAGCGCUAGGGGAAUACUG